rnacentral:lncRNA from 1 species
UCGGUAUUACAAACGAGAUUUACCGAACAUCCUUGAAUAUAUUAGAAAAUCAAAACAAUAUUCGUCCACUUUUACCGGAAUCGUCGUUUUAUUUACCGAAAAAACUGUAAAUCGUUUAGAUUCACCGUAGACUGUAAUUUUUUAUCGUACUUCAGUUCAUAGUGCCACAACGCUUUACCGAACAAAUUGUGAUUUGAUAUUUUUGAGGCUGCCAUAUUUGUUUUGAUGUGCUAGUCAACAUGAUAGUAUCGCAUCCAAUACCAUUUGAUAUUCUGUGUUGUGGUCAUGGACACUGUUUUUUGAAAAAAGUAAAACUACAACAGCAGGAUGAGCGCCUGGAACUACUUUUCCCAUUCAACAGCCCACUUACGGUUCCGGAUAAAAUCGUCACAUUAACGGGCAUAAGCACCCAUGACGGAAUCGGUGGCGCUUUUGUGCAAAAGCACGCGUUCGAGUUGUUGGUGAUGCCGCUGGUGGUUUCCCAUCUUCAUAAGCAGACAAGCAGUUCAUCUUCAUACGGAUUUAAAACGAAAACGCGAAAUAAAUCGAUGCACAUUUGCUAUCAAUAUGAAAUUUA